UCACUUCAUGAUGAUGAAAUAAUUUCCUAUCUUCUCAUCGGACUAAGUGAGGAAUAUGACCCACUUGUGACCUUAGUCACCACCCGUGCAAAUGCCAUUACGCUGGGCAAGGUGUACAAUCAUCUCAUGAGUUUUGAGA